rnacentral:rRNA from 1 species
CUACGGGUGGCAGCAGUGGGGAAUAUUGCACAAUGGGCGCAAGCCUGAUGCAGCAACGCCGCGUGAACGAAGAAGGUCUUCGGAUCGUAAAGUUCUUUUCUUAGGGAAGAAAAAUGACGGUACCUAAGGAAUAAGCACCGGCUAAAUACGUGCCAGCAGCCGCGGUAAUACGUAUGGUGCAAGCGUUAUCCGGAAUCACUGGGCGUAAAGGGAGCGUAGGCGGUGUUGCAAGUCAGAAGUGAAAGGCUACGGCUCAACCGUGGUAAGCUUUUGAAACUGCAAGACUAGAGUGCAGGAGAGGCAAGUGGAAUUCCUAGUGUAGAGGUGGAAUUCGUAGAUAUUAGGAGGAACACCAGUGGCGAAGGCGACUUGCUGGACUGUAACUGACGCUGAGGCUCGAAAGCGUGGGGAGCGAACAGGAUUAGAUACCCUCGUAGUC